rnacentral:rRNA from 1 species
AUUGAACGCUGGCGGCAGGCCUAACACAUGCAAGUCGAGCGAGCGGCGGACGGGUGCGUAAUGUAUGGGGACUGCCCGAUAGAGGGGGAUCACUACUGGAAACGGUAGCUAAUACCGCAUACUAUCGGAUAACCCAUAUGGGAUUAGCUAGUAGGUGAGGUAAUGGCUCACCUAGGCGACGAUCCCUAGCUGGGCUGAGAGGAUGAUCAGCCAAACUGGGACUGAGACACGGCCCAGACUCCUACGGAGGCAGCAGUGGGGAAUAUUGCACAAUGGGCGCAAGCCUGAUGGAGCCAUGCCGCGUGUAUGAAGAAGGCCCUAGGGUUGUAAAGUUCUUUUAGUAGGGAGGCGGUAUCGAAAGAAGAAGCACCGGCUAACUCCGUGCCAGCAGCCGCGGUAAUUC